UACGUAGGUGGCAAGCGUUAAUCGGAAUUACUGGGCGUAAAGCGUGCGCAGGCGGUUUGUAAGUCUGACGUGAAAUCCCUCGGCUUAACCGGGGAACUGCGUCUGAUACUGGAUGGCUUGAGUUUGGGAGAGGGAUGCGGAAUUCCAGGUGUAGCGGUGAAAUGCGUAGAUAUCUGGAGGAACACCGGUGGCGAAGGCGGCAUCCUGGACCAACACUGACGCUGAGUGAGCGAAAGCCAGGGGAGCAAACGGG
rnacentral:rRNA from 1 species